UACAGAGGGUGCGAGCGUUGUCCGGAAUCAUUGGGCGUAAAGCGCGUGUAGGCGGCUUGGUAAGUCCGCUCUGAAAGCCCGGGGCUCAACCCCGGGAGGCGGGUGGAUACUGUCAAGCUCGAGUCCGGAAGAGGCGAGUGGAAUUCCUGGUGUAGCGGUGAAAUGCGCAGAUAUCAGGAGGAACACCAAUGGCGAAGGCAGCUCGCUGGGACGUGACUGACGCUGAGACGCGAAAGCGUGGGGAGCAAACAGG
rnacentral:rRNA from 1 species